rnacentral:rRNA from 1 species
AAAGUCCCGCAAGGGAUCGGUAGAGUGGCAAACGGGUGAGUAACACGUGGGUGACCUGCCUUCGAGUGGGGGAUAACGUCCCGAAAGGGACGCUAAUACCGCAUGACAUCCUGCCUUUGAACAGGCGGAGAUCAAAGCUGGGGAUCGCAAGACCUAGCGCUUGAAGAGGGGCCCGCGUCUGAUUAGCUAGUUGGUGAGGUAACGGCUCACCAAGGCGACGAUCAGUAUCCGGCCUGAGAGGGCGGACGGACACACUGGGACUGAGACACGGCCCAGACUCCUACGGGAGGCAGCAGUGGGGAAUUGUUCGCAAUGGGCGCAAGCCUGACGACGCAACGCCGCGUGGAGGAUGAAGAUCUUCGGGUCGUAAACUCCUUUCGAUCGAGACGAACGGCUUCCGGGCUAAUCACCGGGAGAGUGACGGUACCGAGAGAAGAAGCCCCGGCUAACUCCGUGCCAGCAGCCGCGGUAAUACGGGGGGGGCAAGCGUUGUUCGGAAUUACUGGGCGUAAAGGGCUCGUAGGUGGCCAACUAAGUCAGACGUGAAAUCCCUCGGCUUAACCGGGGAAUUGCGUCUGAUACUGGAUGGCUUGAGGUUGGGAGAGGGAUGCGGAAUUCCAGGUGUAGCGGUGAAAUGCGUAGAUAUCUGGAGGAACACCGGUGGCGAAGGCGGCAUCCUGGACCAAUUCUGACGCUGAGGAGCGAAAGCCAGGGGAGCAAACGGGAUUAGAUACCCCGGUAGUCCUGGCCCUAAACGAUGAAUGCUUGGUGUGGCGGGUAUCGAU